rnacentral:ncRNA from 1 species
UUCAGCAAAGGGCAAACUUAUUCGAAAGAUGAGGACGCAAAGUUACAGAUCUAACGCUCAAGCUAUGAUGGCUGAACUACCUGG